rnacentral:tRNA from 1 species
AUUUAAAUAGUUUAAUUAAAAAUAUUGAUUUGUGGUAUCAGUGAUGUAAAUUCUUACUUUAAAUU